rnacentral:rRNA from 1 species
CAGUAGCCGCGGUAAUACGAGGGGGGCAAGCGUUAGUCGGAAUUACUGGGCGUAAAGCGUGCGUAGGCGGCCAUUCAAGUUAGAUGUGAAAGCCCUGGGCUCAACCUAGGAAUUGCAUUUGAUACUGUUUGGCUUGAGUUCGGGAGAGGUGAGUGGAAUUCCCAGUGUAGAGGUGAAAUUCGUAGAUAUUGGGAAGAACACCAGUGGCGAAGGCGGCUCACUGGACCGACACUGACGCUGAGGCGCGAAAGCGUGGGGAGCAAACAGGAUUAGAUACCCGUGUAGUCCCUGUCUCUUAUAC